GACGAACGCUGGCGGCGUGCUUAACACAUGCAAGUCGAACGGAAAGGCCCUGCUUUUGUGGGGUGCUCGAGUGGCGAACGGGUGAGUAACACGUGAGUAACCUGCCCUUGACUUUGGGAUAACUUCAGGAAACUGGGGCUAAUACCGGAUAGGAGCUCCUGCUGCAUGGUGGGGGUUGGAAAGUUUCGGCGGUUGGGGAUGGACUCGCGGCUUAUCAGCUUGUUGGUGGGGUAGUGGCUUACCAAGGCUUUGACGGGUAGCCGGCCUGAGAGGGUGACCGGCCACAUUGGGACUGAGAUACGGCCCAGACUCCUACGGGAGGCAGCAGUGGGGAAUAUUGCACAAUGGGCGGAAGCCUGAUGCGGCAACGCCGCGUGCGGGAUGACGGCCUUCGGGUUGUAAACCGCUUUCGCCUGUGACGAAGCGUGAGCGACGGUAAUGGGUAAAGAAGCACCGGCUAACUACGUG
rnacentral:rRNA from 1 species